AGCGAGAUCGCUCUGCCCUCAGGGGGGGAUCAGCGAGAUCCCUCUGCCCUCAGGGGGGGAUCAGCGAGAUCCCUCUGCCCUCAGGGGGGGAUCAGCGAGAUCGCUCUGCUCUCCUGGGGGGACCAGCGAGAUCGCUCUGCCCUCCUUGGGGGGAAUCAGCGAGAAGCCUCAGCCAUCCCGGGGGGAUUAGCGAGACCCCUCAGCCCUCCCGCGCCCUCCCCGCAUCCCGGCGACAGCCGCACACCCGGGGCAGGGAAGCCCCGCAAAGGCGGCCGUGGCUGAGGGCGCUCCGGGCCGCCCCUCCCUGAGAUGGCGCCCGCAGCUCCCGCCCCGGCCCCUCCUCAGACGCUCCUGCGGGGCCACCCCGCGGGUCCCCCCCGGCCCCGGCGAGGGCUGAGGGGGCUGUGCAACAUCUGCCCCUGGAGCUCGGCCCGGGCUCCCCUCAGCGAUCCUCGAUGGCCACGGAUGUGCCCAGCGCCGUGUCCCGCGGCCUCGGGCACCCCUGGGGCGGUGCUGGGGGUGGCAGCGCGGGCUGUGAUGUGUGGGGGAUGUGCUUGGGGGAAAACACGGGGAUUUUCAUGUGGCGGUCACUGAGGUUCGGGCACUCCCGGGGCGUUCCCGAGGGAGCUCCCAGUGCUGGGGCACAGGGCAGGGCAGGCCGGCAGCGCUCCCGGGGCUGUGCCCUGCGGGGUGACCCGGGUGUCCCACCGGGGUGUCCCACAGCUAUUCCCAAGAACCUUUAUAAAACCUUGGAAAACACACGUAACCAGAGGUCCUUUUAGAAGCUGGCCCUGCUUUUCUGUGUUUUCUUACACGCUGGUAGUCCUUCCUCUUCCACUUGUAAUGUAGUUUGCAUAAAUGGGCAGGGUUAUUUAACUGGCUUUUAACCACCCCGUCCACAUCAGAGGUGAAAUUGCUAGUUUAAAUUUCUCCUGAAAUUAAAAAACAGUUUCUUGCCAUGGGAAAUGCUCUCUUCUUUAGCACGUGCUUCUUUUGCGGUAUUUGCUGUGUAAAUCUCUAACCAAUUUAUUUGCCUUGUGGAGACAGUAGGAAUUUCAAAUGCGAGUGGAAAAUGCAAGAUGAGUAACAGUUUUUUGGGGUUUCCCCCUCCCCUCUUUGAUUCAAGGGCUUUCAUCUGGCUGCUCUCCCUGCUUUCCUCCUCUGUGUGGUUUGUCGCUGUGCAGAUUGGUGGGAGCCACUGAGCAUCAGUGUGGAAAAAUGUGCUCAUCUUUGGAGUGGUGUUUUCUGUGCUGCCCCAGGAGCUAUUCUGGUUUGCCUACAACAGAUUUGGAAGUGUCAAGGAUGUUGCCUGCAAAAGAGAGUGAUUGAUGGAUGUUUUUAAUCAGUUGAGCUGAAGAUUAAAAUCCACAAUAAAAUGUUACUCUUCAAGAAGAAACAAGAGAAACCAAAGAAAAAGCAUAAAAAUUUAUUAUCUGAUCUUGUCUUUAAACACCUUUAUUCAAACAGAGCCACAAGGCUACUGCAAGGAUGGUGAGGACUGCCAGGAUGCAGGCUAUCACAGCAGAAACAACAAACCCUAGCAAGGGAGGAAAGCAUCCAGAACUGUCAAUAUCCUUGAUUGAGAGGAGAAGAUGUGCCCUGGAAGGUCCUGCUCCCACAGCUGGAUCCACAGCUCACCGUGCUGGGAAGUCAGACACACACUGGAGUCACAGCACCAACAUGCACAGGCAGAGAGAACACCACUGAGUGUGGAGAGUUGAAAAGUGAUCUGCUUUGCUGUUGAGAAUAUUACUUAAAGGCACUGAAGAAGAGGCCAGACACAGGAAAUGGAAAUAGAUUUGCUAACGAGACAAGGUACCAGCGGAAAUGUGCUCGUGCUCUUUGAUGUACUGCAGUGGAGCUCCACACACAGCUGCCUCCAGCUAAGCUUCUGUCCACUGCACAUGGCACAGAACUCACAGAGCUGCUUCACCAACCUCCAGGAAAGCUUUUAUUAAGCUGAGACCCUGCAUUAGAAUUUACCUCCAUUCUGCUGCUUUCUGUUGAUAUUUUCCAUGCCAGCAUCUGCACCGAGUAAAGGACUCACUUCUCUGU